GCAUUGCUGACGAGUUCCAAAAAGGACGAAACGGUUGUCCGGUGC
rnacentral:hammerhead_ribozyme from 1 species